UACGGAGGGUGCAAGCGUUAUCCGGAUUCACUGGGUUUAAAGGGUGCGUAGGUGGGCAGGUAAGUCAGUGGUGAAAUCUCCGGGCUUAACCCGGAAACUGCCGUUGAUACUAUCUGUCUUGAAUAUAGUGGAGGUGAGCGGAAUAUGUCAUGUAGCGGUGAAAUGCUUAGAUAUGACAUAGAACACCCAUUGCGAAGGCAGCUCGCUACACUAUUAUUGACACUGAGGCCCGAAAGCGUGGGGAUCAAACAGG
rnacentral:rRNA from 1 species